CGGGUGAGUAAUGCUUGGGAAUCUAGCUUAUGGAGGGGGAUAACUACGGGAAACUGUAGCUAAUACCGCGUAGAAUCGAGAGAUGAAAGUGUGGGACCUUCGGGCCACAUGCCAUAGGAUGAGCCCAAGUGGGAUUAGGUAGUUGGUGAGGUAAAGGCUCACCAAGCCGACGAUCUCUAGCUGGUCUGAGAGGAUGACCAGCCACACUGGGACUGAGACACGGCCCAG
rnacentral:rRNA from 1 species